rnacentral:misc_RNA from 1 species
AAAAAAAAAAAAAAUCAUGCGAGUUCUGCAUUUAUAUACAUUUGCAUUGUAAUUUUGCUUUGGUCCUGCCAGAGUAGCUUCCUUUACCAACAAACACAACUUAAUUGCCUAUACCUAACAUGUAUUCAAGCCUACUGUAGCAAAUGCAACUACAUGAUAGUGAACAACUUCAACACCCCUGAUUUUUUUUUUUUUUUUUAGGAAAGUCAUGUAGGAGAUCAAUGAGUUACUACAGAAUUGCCAGACUUGCAUUUACUUAAAUGCAUGAAUAAAAUUUAUAACUUUUCAGCAGGGAAGCCAAUAACAGGUUGUAUCUCCAAUGCCAUUGAGCGCAGCUCAUUGAUCUCUUCGCUUGUGAGUCUCCACCCAAGUGCACCUACAAAUUCCUUGGCCUGUUCUGCAGUUUUGGCUCCUGGGAUUGGAACUACAUUCUCCUGUGCUAUUAGCCAGUUCAAGGCCACCUGUGUGGGAGUUUUAUUGUAGUUCUCUCCUAUUUCCUUGAUUCUGUUCAGCAGAUGUUGGAGCUUUAUUAGAAACUCUGGUGUGUAAAUUCUGCUUCGAGGGCCAGUUGGAAGAUUUUCUGGUGUAUACUUUCCUGUAAGAGCUCCUUGAGCAAUGGGAGAAUAUGCAAUCAAAGUGAUCCCAAGUUCAUCACAGGCUGCCUUCACUCCAUUCUCCUCUGGUGCCCUAUAUAUUAGGCUGUAAUUCACUUGGUUUGAAGCCAAUGGAAUACCUCUUUUCUUAAGCCUCUCAUAAGCAUCACGAAGUCGGCUUUCACUGUAGUUUGAAACGCCAACUGCCUUCACAAGGCCCUGCUCCACUGCAUCUCCAAGGCCGUCAAGAUACCCUUCAUUUCCCCAUAUUCCAGGCCAAUGCAGUUGAUAAAGCUCUACUGAAGAAACUCCAAGGCGACAAAUGGAAUCCUUAAGGGCAGUUAAGACACUCUGACGUCCUAGCCUCCAAGGCAAAGCUGCGAACUUUGUUGCAAUAGCAACCUCCAAUUCAGGAUCUGUUUCUUUCCUUUCCUUGAUGAAUCUUCCCAGAAGAGUUUCUGACUUUACAGCACCAAGUGAGAGCAUAGAGCCAUAAACUUCAGCGGUAUCAAAAAAGGUUAUACCACAAUCAACACUAGUUUCAAAAGCAGACUUAGCAUCCUUCAUUUUCCUGUCGUCCCACUCAAAGUUGUUCCAGUAGCUGUUGUCACCCCAUGACCAAGCUCCAAUUCCAAGCCUUGUCACCCUCAAAUCAGAUCCUCCCAAUUUCACCUUCUCUUCCUCGAUUUUCGAAGCAGCAGGAGCACUCUCAGAAGCUACAGCUCUCACUCUGUAAAUUCCCUUCCUCUGACAGAAAACAGAGAGACAAGCACCACUGCUAAUAUGGGUAGCCAUCAUUUUCUCUGGAAUUCAAAUGCAAAGGAAGGAGAAGUGAGUCACUAGUCACGACUCACAGGUGGAGAGCAG